rnacentral:rRNA from 1 species
GACGAACGCUGGCGGCGUGCUUAACACAUGCAAGUCGAACGGUGAACCCGGAGCUUGCUCCGGUGGAUUAGUGGCGAACGGGUGAGUGACACGUGAGUAACCUGCCCUUGACUCUGGGAUAACUGCGGGAAACUGUAGCUAAUACCGGAUACGACCCUCGGCGGCAUCGCCAGGGGGUGGAAAGAAUUUCGGUCAAGGAUGGACUCGCGGCCUAUCAGCUAGUUGGUGAGGUAACGGCUCACCAAGGCUACGACGGGUAGCCGGCCUGAGAGGGUGACCGGCCACACGGGGACUGAGACACGGCCCAGACUCCUACGGGAGGCAGCAGUGGGGAAUAUUGCACAAUGGGCGCAAGCCUGAUGCAGCAACGCCGCGUGAGGGAUGACGGCCUUCGGGUUGUAAACCUCUUUUAGUAGGGAAGAAGCGAAAGUGACGGUACCUGCAGAAAAAGCACCGGCUAACUACGUGCCAGCCGCCGCGGUAA